CCUACGGGAGGCAGCAGUGAGGAAUAUUGGUCAAUGGCCGGAAGGCUGAACCAGCCAUGCCGCGUGAAGGUCAGUGCCCUAUGGGCGUUAAACUUCUUUUGUGCGGGAGCAAUAAUGGUCACGUGUGGCCAGACGAGAGUACCGUACGAAUAAGCAUCGGCUAACUCCGUGCCAGCAGCCGCGGUAAUACGGGGGAUACAAGCGUUAUCCGGAUUUAUUGGGUGUAAAGGGUGCGUAGGCUGUGAGGUAAGUCAGCGGUGAAAUGCCCCCGCGCAACGGGGUGAAGUGCCAUUGAUACUGCCGUGCUGGAAUGCGGAUGCGGUGGGAGGAAGGUGUGGUGUAGCGGUGAAAUGCAUAGAUAUCACACAGAACACCGAUUGCGAAGGCAUCUCACGAAUCCGCGAUUGACGCUGAUGCACGAAAGCGUGGGUAUCAAACAGGAUUAGAUACCCGUGUAGUC
rnacentral:rRNA from 1 species